AGUGAACGCUGGCGGUAGGCCUAACACAUGCAAGUCGAACGGCAGCACAGUAAGAGCUUGCUCUUACGGGUGGCGAGUGGCGGACGGGUGAGGAAUACAUCGGAAUCUACUUUUUCGUGGGGGAUAACGUAGGGAAACUUACGCUAAUACCGCAUACGACCUACGGGUGAAAGCAGGGGAUCUUCGGACCUUGUGCGAUUGAAUGAGCCGAUGUCGGAUUAGCUAGUUGGCGGGGUAAAGGCCCACCAAGGCGACGAUCCGUAGCUGGUCUGAGAGGAUGGUCCGCCACACUGGAACUGAGACACGGUCCAGACUCCUACGGUGGGAAGCAGUGGGGAAUAUUGGACAAUGGGCGCAAGCCUGAUCCAGCCAUACCGCGUGAGUGAAGAAGGCCUUCGGGUUGUAAAGCCCUUUUGUUGGGAAAGAAAAACAGCAGGUUAAUACCCCGCUGUCCUGACGGUACCCAAAGAAUAAGCUCCGGCUAACUUCGUG
rnacentral:rRNA from 1 species